rnacentral:rRNA from 1 species
UACAGAGGGUGCGAGCGUUAAUCGGAAUUACUGGGCGUAAAGCGUGCGUAGACGGUUUUGUAAGUCGGAUGUGAAAUCCCCGGGCUCAACCUGGGAAUUGCAUUCGAGACUGCAAGGCUUGGGUGCGGAAGAGGGAAGCGGAAUUUCCGGUGUAGCGGUGAAAUGCGCAGAUAUCGGGAGGAACACCGGUGGCGAAGGCGGUUCUCUGGGCCUGUACUGGACGCUGAGGAGCGAAAGCGUGGGGAGCAAACAGG